GAAACGUGGGCUUACACUGCUCAUUGCUCUGUCUCUCCAGUGCUUCUUCCUGCUAAGAAUGCAGCACAUUCUUUAGGUGACACUCUAGAGAUGAAUGCUUCUCCAGGCUUCGUGACUGUGGUACUCUUGCUGCUUGGACAAACCCAUGGAGACUCAGUGACCCAGACGGAAGGCCCAGUGACCCUCUCUGAAGAGGAGUCCUUGAUUAUUAAUUGUACUUAUUCAACAACAGGGUCCCUGUUUUCUGGUACUCUUUUCUGGUAUGUCCAGUAUCCUGGAGAAGGUCCACAGCUUCUCCUGAAAGGUGUGAGGGACAAGGAAAAGACAAGUCACAAAGGUUUUGAAGCCACCCUACAAAAAAAUUCCAAAACUUUCCACUUGGAGAAGUCCUCAGUGCAAGCGUCAGAUUCAGCCGUGUACUACUGUGUCAUGAAUGACACAGUGACAGGGACUGCAGGGGGAGCUGAGCACAAACUCUGAGCAGAACAAGGGCCCGGAUGCCGAGUGUCUCUGACUGAUCCACUCUGGUUCCAGCACAGUGUA